AGCGGAUUGGUGGGCGGGCGUAUGGCGGCCAGGCCUGGACCGCCACGAGGCUGGGUGGCGCCGUGGGGUCGCUCGUCCUGGCGCCCCAAGUCACCAAGGCUGAAAGGGGAGGUGAGGGCUCUCAGGGAUGAACCCUUGUUCUCGCUGAUGGCGGUGGGCGAACCCACCUAACAGGGAUCCGCCGCCGGGGCGAGGCGAGGAGCAGGCUUUCCAGGGCCUGGAGGUCGAGGGCCCAGACCCUGAGGAGAGGGGCUCACUGCCCCGCUGCAGAGGAGCGGCCCCAGAUGGAUAAGGAGUUGAGGUCGCAGGGGUGCUGAGCCCCGCCGACGUGGAAGUGACUGGCUACCAAAAUCUGAAAAGCCCCCAUCACUUGGAUGAGCGGGGAUCAGAGGAAACUCCACCACAUAUCAGCAGUGGGACCUGAGAGGCUGCAGCAAUGUGGCCGAUGUUUGAAAGGCAGCUGGGUAGCCUGGCCACAGGGACCCGAAGAACGGGUAUGUUGAAGCAGCUGAGGUAUAUGUGUGACAACUCUA